GACGGAGGGUGCAAGUGUUAUCCGGAAUCACUGGGCGUAAAGCGUCUGUAGUUGGUCAAUUAAUUCACUUGUUAAAUCUUGAGGCUCAACCUCAAAAUCGCAGUCGAAACUAUUCGACUAGAGUAUAGUAGGGGUAAAGGGAAUUUCCAGUGGAGCGGUGAAAUGCGUAGAGAUUGGAAAGAACACCGAUGGCGAAGGCACUUUACUGGGCUAUUACUAACACUGAGAGACGAAAGCUAGGGUAGCAAAUGGG
rnacentral:rRNA from 1 species